rnacentral:lncRNA from 1 species
AGCUUAACUUGCACCAGCCGGUUCUGUUCCACUGCCUGAGGCCCAGGGAUGGAUCUGAGGCAGGCUUUUUGGAAGCAGCUUUGCACCCUAACCCAUCUUGUGUGUGGCCUUUAUUUCCUUUAGGGAGAGCCCUAAGGGUCCUAGGGAGUGAGUGGUGCAGCCCCACCCUGAGCAGUCCCUCACCGAUGGACUACUAGGGUUUUAAUUCCUCUGGGACACAAUGUGAUGGGCACUGCGAAUUGGCCCACCUCCUUUGUAACUGCUGACUGCGAUGAAACCCAAUUGAACAGCCUGAACUCUAGGAUGAAUUUCUAGCCGUGACCCUUCCACUCACCCUUCUGAGUGACAGGACACUCCUGGCAACUUUUCCACCAGAAAAUAGCCAUCCAGGGGAUUGCUGUGCCCACAAAGUACUUCCCUUCAAAGUCUCAGGAGGGCAGAGCUCUGGGCUCAGGGUGGAGCCCAGUCUGUACAGCGCUUGCCCGGUAUGUCUGGCUUGCCUAGUUACACAGAAACUGGGCUUGGUGGGACAUGCCCAGUGAUUUCAGCUCCAGGGAGUUAGCGGCAGGAGGAUCACAAGUUCAAGGUCAUCCUGGGCUACUAAAGGAGUAAGUAAGAAAGGGAAGUCAGCCUGGAAUGCAUUAGAACGGUAAGGGGGGUGGGGCGGAGAAAGGAAGAGAGAAGAGGAGAGGGAGGAGAGGAAGAGAGGAGAGGAAAGGAGAGAAGAGGACAGAGGAGGUAGAGAGGAGGAGGGGAAGAAAAGAGACCGGGUGGUAGACACCUGACCCAGGCGGACAAGUCAGAUUCUCUUGGGAAUUUGAAACCUGAACGCAAAGACUCAGCCUAGUGGCCAGCGCAGCAGCAGCAGCAGUAUCCAAACCACGGUGUUUUAGAAAGAAGGUCCGGGCUGCCCAGGAUCCUGCCUGUCUGCUGUAGUAGCUCUUCCUCUUGACCUCUGAGCCACCCCAGUGUCCUUCCAAAACGUAGCUCUUGGUCUUGGUGGGCAGAGUAGCUUCCUAGCCCUGAAAAUCAAACAAAACACUAAGCCACACAAAACAAGCGAGAGGAAACCACUCCAAACAGCCUUGGGAGGCGUGGGGGUUGAGUCGGGGUGGGGGGUGGGGGAGUACACUUCGGACUUGACAUUUUAACUCUUUUUAUACCCAAGUAGUGUUUUGCGUGGCUUGAUUUUAGUUUUACGUUUUACUCAGAGUCUGGCUUUGUAACCCAUCCCAGGCCAGCCUUCAUGGGUGCAGGUAUGACAGGCAGCGCCCCAACUCCAGAGCACACUCUCUUUUCUUUCUCCGGAACUUUUUCUUUCUGACAGCGACCCAUUUGUCAGGCUGCGUCUGAACUCUUCAACCAAAGGCGACUUUGACUUGUGAUCUUCCUGCCUUCAUCUCCCACACACUGGGAUUCCAGGCUUGAGCCACCAGGCCUUGUUCCAAAACAAAACAAAAACAACAAAAAACAAAACAAAACAAAAUACGGGUCUCAUGAAGGCCAAGCUAAUUCAGAGCCCCCUGUGUAGCUGAGGCUGGCCUUGAACUCCCCUGGAUGCUGGAGUUAACAGCGUGGACCUCCAUGGCAGGUACCAAAGCACUUUUGAAUCUUUGUUUUCAUGGCAAACUGUAUAGCUUUGGAAAAGCUCUACCAUGAUCGUUAAUUUCCUGGACUUUAACACAGGCAUGGCUCACUCAUGAAGUUGAUUUGUUACUUGUCGUUUAACACAGGCAUGGCUCACUCAUGAAGUUGAUUUGUUACUUGUCGUUUGGCAGGGUUUUGUUUGGUUUUGGUUUAAUUUUUGGCUGUGCUAGGGGUGGAACUCAUGGUCUUGCAAACAUUAAGUCAGGACUCACUGUAUUCUAGGCUAGUCUGAAACACAUGUCAAGCCUCCAGCCUCAACCUCUGAAGUGUGUUGGGAUAACAAGCAUGAGCUAUCACCCUGAGCUCCUCAGCUUUUUCUUUUGGUGGUGGUGGUGGUGGGGUGUUGGGGGCGGGGAGAGUGGUGGUGGUGAGGAGCAGGGGUUAAGACAGGGUCUUAGUUUGUAGACCAGGCUGGCCUCAAAUUCAUAGAGAUCUACCUGUUUCUGCCUCCUGAGUGCCACCACCCCUGGUAAAUUAAUGUAUGUAUGUAUGUAUGUAUGUAUGUAUGUAUGUAUGUAUGUAUGUAUGUAUAUAUGUAUGCAUUCCGCAUUCCGUGUUAGGGAUAGAACCCAACACCUUGUGCAUGCUACUCAAAGUACCAUUUAAUACACCCUCAGCCCCAGCCAAAUAUUUAUUGAGGGCUGGAGAGGUGACUCAGUGGGUAAAAACACUUCUUACAAGCCAGGCAUGGUAUGGUAGUACACGCCUUUAAUCUUAGCACUGGGGAGCUAAGGUAGAUAGCUCUCCAAGUUGGAGGCUAGCCUGGUCUACAGAGAGAGAGUUCCAGGACAGCCAGGACUAUACAGAGAAAUCCUGUCUCCAAAAAGAAGAAGAGGAAGAGGAGGAAGAGGAAGAAGAAGAGAGGAGGCAAGGGGAGGAGGAGGAAGAGGGGAGGGAGGAAGAGGAAGACAAGGAGGAGGGGGAGGAGGAAAAGAAAGAAAGAAAGAUGUGCUGCUGUUCUAGAGGACCUUGGUUCUGUUCUCACAUGGAUGCUCACACAAGGGUCUAUAACUCCAGUUCCAAGGACCUUCUUCUGGUGAGCAGAUAUACAUACCAGCAAAACACCCACAUACACGGGGGCGGGGAUGUUUGCUUCUGUUAGUCUCCUGUAUAAGAAACUGACCUUGAACUUUGUAAGCAAGGGUGAUCUUGAACUCCUCAUCAUUCUGCCUCUGCCUCUUCAGUACUGGAGUUAUGGGGCUGAGGACAAGGCCGGGGGCUGAGGACAAGGCCGGGGCCUGGAACCAGCUGUAUCCUUAGCCUUAAGGGUCUUUUCACUGAUGCAGUAAAUAAGCGCUCAGCCUAUGCAGGGUUAUGCUUCUAGGGUGUAUUUUUCCAAACCCUUUGUGCUAGUUCCUUCCAAAGACCUCCCCCUCGCCCAUCCACCCACCCUUUGCCCUUUCCCCUGCAGCCUUCCUAUGGGAAGGCCCCACUUAACAGGAACUGCUAGAAAAGUGCAAAGCAUUUGCUCACAGCCCUCUGGCUCCACAGGUCCAUCUUCCUGCCUUCCAGAUAAAGAGAUCAAAGUUCCCCAACAACUGACUCUCCAGAUGGCUUGUGUGAGGAGAGGGCAGGGGAGGAGGAAGACAGGAUGGUCCACUGAAAGGUAGGAUGGGAAGUUCUUCCCUGAGAGCUGAGGUCUCUACCCAGCAGGCAGCCAAGGAUCUGUCCUAGUUCAGAGCCCAUUCAUCGCUGCUGCAGGGUCAGAUGCAAGACCCCAGAGUCUCACCUCCAUCCCUGAACUGCUCAAGCUGGAGGGAUCCUCUGAGUUCCGUUGUGAGUGGGAGAGUCUCUGGGGGCAGCAGAAAAAACUGCUGUCUAGUUUCUUGUUCUUUCACUGUGUGUGUGUUUGUAUAUAUGUAAACAAAGGAACAGCAAAGUGAGACAGAAUGUCCCCUCAAGUACCUGUAUUUCUUAAAAAGAAAUUAAGA